AGAGUUUGAUCAUGGCUCAGGAUGAACGCUGGCGGCGUGCUUAACACAUGCAAGUCGAACGACUAAACCGCCCUCGGGCGGACAUAGAGUGGCGAACGGGUGAGUAACACGUGACCAACCUGCCCCCCGCUCCGGGAUAACGCGGCGAAAGCCGCGCUAAUACCGGGUACUCCGGCGAGGCCGCAUGGCCCCGCCGGGAAAGCUCCGGCGGCGGGGGAUGGGGUCGCGGCCCAUCAGGUAGUAGGCGGGGUGACGGCCCACCUAGCUUUCGACGGGUAGCCGGGCUGAGAGGCCGACCGGCCACAUUGGGACUGAGAUACGGCCCAGACUCCUACAGGAGGCAGCAGUGGGGAAUUUUGCGCAAUGGGGGAAACCCUGACGCAGCAACGCCGCGUGCGGGACGAAGGCCUUCGGGUUGUAAACCGCUUUCAGCAGGGACGAAUUCCGACGGUACCUGCAGAAGAAGCCCCGGCUAACUACGUGCCAGCAGCCGCGGUAAUACGUAGGGGGCGAGCGUUAUCCGGAUUCAUUGGGCGUAAAGCGCGCGUAGGCGGCGCGUCAAGCGGGACCUCUAACCCCGGGGCUCAACCCCGGGCCGGGUCCCGGACUGGCGCGCUCGAGUGCGGUAGAGGCGAGUGGAAUUCCCGGUGUAGCGGUGAAUGCGCAGAUAUCGGGAAGAACACCGAUGGCGAAGGCAGCUCGCUGGGCCGACACUGACGCUGAGGCGCGAAAGCUGGGGGAGCGAACAGGAUUAGAUACCCUGGUAGUCCCAGCCGUAAACGAUGGGCGCUAGGUGUGGGGGGCCCCGCCCCCCGUGCCGCAGCCAACGCAUUAAGCGCCCCGCCUGGGGAGUACGGCCGCAAGGCUAAAACUCAAAGGAAUUGACGGGGGCCCGCACAAGCAGCGGAGCAUGUGGCUUAAUUCGAAGCAACGCGAAGAACCUUACCAGGGCUUGACAUGCUGGUGAAGCCGGGGAGACUCGGUGGCCGAGAGGAGCCAGCGCAGGUGGUGCAUGGCUGUCGUCAGCUCGUGUCGUGAGAUGUUGGGUUAAGUCCCGCAACGAGCGCAACCCCUGCCCCGUGUUGCCAGCAUUGAGUUGGGGACUCGCGGGGGACUGCCGGCGUCAAGCCGGAGGAAGGUGGGGACGACGUCAAGUCAUCAUGCCCCUUAUGCCCUGGGCUGCACACGUGCUACAAUGGCCGGUACAGAGGGCUGCCACCCCGCGAGGGGGAGCGAAUCCCGCAAAGCCGGCCCCAGUUCGGAUCGGAGGCUGCAACCCGCCUCCGUGAAGUCGGAGUUGCUAGUAAUCGCGGAUCAGAAUGCCGCGGUGAAUGCGUUCCCGGGUCUUGUACACACCGCCCGUC
rnacentral:rRNA from 1 species